UACGUAGGUGGCGAGCGUUGUCCGGAUUUACUGGGCGUAAAGGGCGUGCAGGCGGUUUGUUAAGUGCAGGGUGAAAGCUCCCGGCUCAACUGGGAGAGGUCCUUGCAUACUGGCGAACUCGAGGGAGGCAGGGGAAAGUGGAAUUCCCGGUGUAGUGGUGAUAUGCGUAGAUAUCGGGAGGAACACCUGUGGCGAAGGCGGCUUUCUGGGCCUUACCUGACGCUGAGACGCGAAAGCGUGGGGAGCGAACCGG
rnacentral:rRNA from 1 species